CAAUAAAAAUAUCUUAUAUUGAGACAAAAGCAUAGGUUAAACAGUGGGUUAAGUGUAUCGAUAAAUAAUACAAAAUUGAUUAAUCGAUAUUUUAAUCUAUUAAUGCAGCUGAUCUUUUAAGCUUUCAAGUAAAAUGUUAUUGUGAUUUUUUAUUUUGUUAUAGCCAAUUAAUCAGACUCAAACACAUGGUAGACAGCAAAUGGUUCAACCAAAUGGCUAAAUUCUGGUAAUUUGUAAACGACUCUUACAUGAACAACUGAAUUAAUGUGAAUAUUCUGUGUCCAUAUAAUGACCAGAAGUGAAUAAUCCCUUCUGUUUUAUAAAGUUCAUACGUAAAUAGCUGUUUAAACAAAAGACUAAACCCAAAUCAUGUCUCCACUGCAAAGUAUUUAUAAUUAAUUAAAUAGAUUCAUUUGGUUCACCUCGUUUCAUAUAAAGGUAGAGCAAAUUCAAUUGUGUUACCUUUACAUCUGAGUUUACAGUAAUAUCAGACUAUUUCUGACCUUCUGAUUGACAUGUUUGUUUUUCAUUUCAUCGCUUGCUUUUAGAGGAAAAAUUGAGAGGAAAAAAGUUCAACGAAUUUUUUCCAAACUCUGUUUGUUCCAUUCAGUAUUUACUUUCCAGGAUAAUUAAAGACAAGAGUAAUUGCAAGUUCAUUUGGUUUUUCAAUUCAAUCGCAUUUACUUAUUGACAUUAAUUCCUUCGUCCGAUUUCGAGACAAAAACGUUAAUUGUCCUCUUAUAAACCUGAUUUCAACUGAAUCAAGAUUCAAUACUAAAGUGCUGUCUAGAGAUCAUGGAAAAGCAAAGCAAAGAAACCAAAAUUUGACAAUCCAAUGAUUUUUUUGAGUAAAUCACAGAUUCAAACAUUAGGUUAAACAUGAAAAUUGCAAAAAGGUAAUUUAAAUGUUGGUUAAUUUAUUCCUAAUUGCUAGGAAUUUGCUGAAAGGAAAUAUUUAUGAACAUUGAAAACCAUUAUUCGUUGUAACAAGUGAAAUCUGGUAAAUCGGGUGAAAGUGGGUAAAGUUGGUUCUGUAGAGUCAAUUCUGGUCACAGUGAGUUAAUUGAAAUCACGAUAUCAACCAUUCAGCAUGAAAAUCACGGAUUGGGUGAAUUAAUAGUGAAAUAUCAUUUGAAACAUUUCUCUACUUCAAAUGAUAAUCACUAGAGUUUGAUGAAGACUGUUGACUGAUUCAAAAGACUCAAUAGUUUAGACACCUUAAAUUUUAAAUUGUAUUUAGCGUUGUUAUCAAGCUGAUCAAUAUAAACUUGCAAUAAAUGCCUUAAGUUACACACAGCUUAUCAAGAUUAUCGAGUCUGAACCAAACUAAAGGAACAUAAGCUUGGAAUAAGUCCAAGAUUAUUUCAAUUGAAGAUAUUGACAGUUGGCAAUAUCAUUUGUCGGUGUUUAUUUACAUCCGAGAUACAAUCAAAAAUGGCAACGACUUCGCACGAAAUGAACACUAAAGCGAUUCAGACUAAUUGUCUAGUCUAGAUCAAAGGCAUGAAACAAAAUUAACUUAAAAUUCAAUGUUAAUUGAAGAUCCUCGGAUCUUUAGCAAUUCAUUUGAACUGUCAAUUUAAAUAGAUUUUAUAAACUCUUGUAGAUGGCGUUGAAACGGUUUACCCAAAUUAGGUAACACAAUAAGAAAUAGGCUGAUCUUCAAUUGUUAAUGUUUAUUAUUGAAGAUCAUUGUAAUCCUAAUUCCUUUUUUGAUAAUUAAACUCUUUUAUAAACACUGUAAUGGUUUCGUUUCUCUAACCAAUCAACUUAAUCAACUUGCUGUUAUCCAAUUAACAAGGAAAAAAAGAGUGAACAUUCAAGAUUUGCAAAGCCGAGGAAAAAACUUGUUUCAUUUUGUAAAAAUAAGCUUAUUCAACUCUAAGGAUUGUCAGUUAUCGUUUUUGACCUUCGUUCAUCAGACUUUUUUGUUCAGAUUUCAUCCUGAUAGCUUCAAGUACUGUAAGUUUUUCAAUUACCUGGACGAUUAAAGUUUAAAGCCGGUGGUCUUGCAAGAGAGUCGUUGACUGCACCUUCAUUGCUGAAUGGUAUUGGUUGAGCUCCUGGUUUGUUUCCCAUUCUGGUUAUUAGGAUGAUUAUGCAGAAAGGAAAUGGUGAUGAAAAUUUAUGGUGAUAGUAUUGGUGGUGGUGAAGGUGAUAUUAAGAUGAGUUAAACACAAUUAAAGAUGGCAGAUUUAAUAUAUCACAGAGUUGAGAUGAUUAAGAGAUAAUCAAGGAAAAAGAUUUUUGGUCUUCAAGUUUCUUCAAUUUUGCUUUUCCUCUGUUCCUCAAUCUAUUUCUUUUGGGUGAAACUUUCAAAAGCUUUUAUCAACAAAUCAAAGCAUUUCAACUUGGAUAUCGAUAAAAUCAUGGUGUUGAGUCAACAUUAAAAAAAGAUAACGAUGAGAAAGGAAAAGGUUAAAACCAUUCCAGGCUGAGUUUAACCAUUAAUUCGAUAUAACCAAAGAUCUUAGUGUAUUAUCUAACUUGAAAUGGCUUGUACAAGUGUUCAUUUGUCAUUGAAGUUGAUGAGGUUAAUUGGAUUUUAUGCUCGUUCUUGGCUAUUCCUUGAUCUCUCCCUAUCUGAAUCUACGGUUGGCUGUUUGGGUGUUAAUAAUUUCAUUGUAAUAAGUUCCAAAAUUGAUUGAUGAUUGAAAGUUGAUCAAUUCCAAAUAAAUUACCGAGUACAGGCACACAAACCAGCAACUUUGAGUAAUUCAACACAACACUCAACAAGUUAAAUUUUGUUCCUAGUUACCAACAAGCAAGUUUACAAGUGGAAGAUUGAAGCACAUAAUAAAAAUGAUGUCAUGGUGUCUUAUUA